rnacentral:rRNA from 1 species
ACCAACUUCCCAACAGCUAGCCCCCUAUAAAACGCAACAAACAACAUUAAUAACCCCAAAAACACUACCUGUAAAUUAUCAAACCAUUUUACCCCCCUAGUAUGGGAGACA